rnacentral:lncRNA from 1 species
CGCCCGUGCACUAAGCUCCAGGUUAAACAAAAGAUUACUGUGAAGCUAUAAAUUUCCAAAUGCACACGAACUCCAUAGAACCACGACUAACGCGACGGCAAUGGCUAUAGCACUUGGACUCUAUCAACACAACUGCACAUAUGGAUGAUCCAUUCCAUGGUACCAUCCUUAAUUUGCAUCCAUUUUGAAGAUUAACACAAACAGGUAUGCUUUAGUCAGUCAAAGACCACGAAUUUUUGUAUGCAUAUAUAGAGUUGCAAAUACCCUGUGUUAGAAUUAGAUGUUUGAAAAGAGAGCUAAUGGAGUUGAGGUCUUGAGGAUGUGAAUAAUGUUGUUACUACUAAGGGGAGUCUUAAAUCUACUAAUGGCACAUAAUUGAUUGAACCCUAGAGCAUCAAAAUUCUAUAGUUAGCUCUGAAGAUGUGAUGUUUGUAAAAAUGCAAUAGAGCAUAAUUAGAGAGCAGCCAUAUGGGAUUCCUAGAAUUUUACCCACUUGUUAGACAUGAUUCACUCAUUCAAAGGAUAUAAUUUUCCACUUCAAUUCCAUACAUAAUAUAUAUGGUGUUAUUUCCCGAUUAUGAUUAUGAGGUUGUAGAAUCUUUGAAUCAUGAGCAUCAUAAUCAACACUAUUUCGAUCCUUUGCAUAAUAUAACCAUCUUUUAUGAUGAUAAUAUGGAAGAUGAAGAUCAUAUAGAUGACAAAUAAGGGUGAAGCUAGAGGUGACGAUAUUAAUCAAGUCCAAUUAAGGGUAGAGUUUCCUUCUUCAAAAAAUAACUUUCCCACCAUUAGCUCCUGGCAGUUGUUUAGUACGUCCUGUCAAAUGAUGAAGUUCAAUACACUCCUGGAUCCUCUAAAUCGACCUUAAAUGUGUUAGUUCCUUCAGGAUAAACCCCACCAAUGGUUAUGGAGAAGAAAAAAUCAAUGAAGUAGAUUUUGAUUCUAUAUCUGAGGAACAUGAUUCAGACGAUGACAUAGAGAUGAAUAUGGAUAUUUUUCAAGAAGAAUAGAGAACGAACUCCUCAAGAAAAGAAAACAAAAGAUGUUUUAGGAUUUAAAUUUGGAUUCUUUGGUGAACAAGAAAAAGGAAUUCCUAGUUGGAUACCGAAGAAAAAUUAAGGCAAGGAAUGACUCCUUCGAGAUAGAAAAUUCUUGUUUUGCAUGGUUAGAAUAGCAAUAUUGGAACUAGAAAGCCAUUGUAAAUAGAAUUUAGGAUUUGCCAGUUUCUACCAAGUUUGAUCUGCAGGGAUAUCAACCUAAUCCCCCCUCUAUGAAUUUGUACUUUGCUUUUGCUUUAAUAAAAAGUGGUUUCUUUCUUCUUCUUUUUUAAAGUUGCAUUGAUAGUUAAGUGAGUGAGCCUAUGUUAUGUUGAUAGUUAAAUGAGUUAGCAUAUGCCAUUCAGCUGGUUAAUAUAUUUUCUUUAGAUUGCUGUUGCUUUUAUUCCAUUUCCUAAUAGUGUACUAGAGCUAACUUCAUCUUAUCAACUUUUCCAUCUCCGUUAUAAGCAUGAAGAAAGCUUGAACAAGUUACCUCCAAGAUUUUUCUACUUAAAAUAUACGGAUUCAAUCUUACAUGAUCUUUUAGGUAUGGAAACUUAUUAGUAUUACAACUCUUAUCAGGAAGUGAAAACACUUUAGUUUAUUACAAGAAUCAGCUUACUCUUUAGACAUCAAUGCAAAAGGCAAAGAGUGAAGUCCCACUGGUCCAAGUUGGAUGGAACUUAGCCAGACUAAUUGAAUAUCCAUGGCCAACAUAAACACAACCAUAGCUAACAGAUACACCCCCAUAGAUUGUAGCACCAGUGUUAAAUGUCCACAAGAUUUUCCCAGUACUGGCAUCCAUGGCAUAGAGAGGGCCAUUAGGAGCCACAGACCCUGCAAAAAGAAGCCCAUUAACUAUGGUGACUGGCCCGUGGGCCGUGUCGUUGCUAGGGUCUGCAGUGGUCCAAAGGAUUUGGCCCGUGUUUGCAUCCAAUGCUACCCAUCCACCAGCUGUUGUUGUUUGAUUCGAAGGUGCUAAGGUAAAAGGAACUCUAUUUCCAUUGACUGUGUUUGUGUAAACUCGCUUCCCAUCUGUGGCUGCACCCCAUACUCCUCCUCCCUCCAAGCUCCCCGGUCCUGCUUUCUACAUCGCACAAAAAUUCUUAGAUAAACAAAUUUGUACUAAUAUUUCACGUUCACAAAGUUGAUUCAUCAAGACGUCGACACUUCAAAUUAUCAAUAGAUUUAACUUGUGUACACUGGAGUGAAGAAGUGUUUCAAGCCCAUAGUUUAUUUUAAUCACUUAUAGCAGAUUAUGUAGCUUUGUUCUUAAGUUACCAAAUUAGGUUUAAUAAAGAUUGUACAUGUCGUUGCAUGUCACUUAACCUCAGUUGCGACAAAAGGGGAUGCACAAAAUGUACAAAAAUGUCGCGCAUAGAUUUGAACUUAUGACUUAAAGCCAUUUUUGAAACCCCUUAGCCAUUACACUAGAAUCUUCCUUUAUGUCAAAGGGAUUCAACAGUUUAUAUAUAACAAAAGUGUUUAUUUUUACCCUAUAUGCAUCUAUAUAGUAUUCCAGCAAAGGACCUAGUCCUGCCCCUGCUUAACCCGAUGGCGUAAAACAACUAUGUAAUAUUGUUAGUGUACAAAAGUCAAAUAAACCACAAGCAAAAUGCUACAUUAUGCUAAUUAAGCUCUUUGUUCACAAAAUUCUUACUCAUGUAUAGAAAUCACUAAAAUAUUAUUCCAUCCGUUGCAAUUUAUGUGAACCUGUUUGACUGGGCACAGAGUUUAAGAUCUGGAAUUUAUAGUCCUAAACAAGUCAAAAAGGGACUCAGAGUAUUUGUGUGGUUAUAAAAGCUUCUCAUUAAGGAUAUAAUGGUAAGUUUAAGCUAAAUUAUUACCAAUUUUAGAACGGAUCAAAGAGGAAAUAGGUUCACAUAAACUAGAACAGAGGGAGUAUUCGUCAAAGUUACCAGCAAACAAAAGCUACACAUCCUUUCUCUCGUCAAAAUUAAUUUGUUGUCUUGUGUUAAUUAAAUGGAUGUUUCAAAAUUAACGAGUCUAGUUAAUAUGAAUCUAGAGUAUGGGAGUGUCAAAAGGUCCGGUGAACAAAAGGUGACCAUUAUUGUAUCUAUAUAUGUGCAAGUGUGCAAGACAAAUGUAGUGAACAAGAAAAUCAAAUAAACCUGCAGCUGCAACAAUAAAUUAAGCAGCUUGUUCACAGUAAAGUUACUCCUAUCCUUUCUUAAGUUACUAAUAUCCCUUCCAAAGCUAAACUCGCUGAAAAGUUGUUACUCGUCUGUUCUAGUUACAACCAUCUGAUUAGUAUUACUUCUUUGAUUUCUACUCUGCUUCUCGCAAAAGCAGAGUAGAAAUUGUUAAAAUGUUUCUACCUAUACUAUACUUUCUGAAGCACAUUAUUGAUGAUGUGAAGAGUACUUGAAAGAUGAAAAUUCUGGUUAUAAAGACUUACCUUAACCCAAACAAUAUGNNNNNNNNNNNNNNNNNNNNNNNNNNNNNNNNNNNNNNNNNNNNNNNNNNNNNNNNNNNNNNNNNNNNNNNNNNNNNNNNNNNNNNNNNNNNNNNNNNNNNNNNNNNNNNNNNNNNNNNNNNNNNNNNNNNNNNNNNNNNNNNNNNNNNNNNNNNNNNNNNNNNNNNNNNNNNNNNNNNNNNNNNNNNNNNNNNNNNNNNNNNNNNNNNNNNNNNNNNNNNNNNNNNNNNNNNNNNNNNNNNNNNNNNNNNNNNNNNNNNNUCCAGUGUUGCGAUCAAGAGCCCAGGCAAAGCCACUUUUCUGCACAGCUACCACAAUAUCACGUAGUCUUCCAUUUGAGAAUAUAGUUAGCAACAUAGGCGCCUCUCCAAAAUCUGCAUCCAAGUUAGGCCCUGGUGGGCAAUCUGGAUUAUUAGGAACUAAACAAGUGAAAUAGAAAACGUCAUAGCCUCCAAGCUGUGUUGCCCAAGCAAUUUCUCCAGAAUCUACAUCAAAUGCAAGAAUGGAAUUAAAAUGAACAUCUUCACCAAAACACUGAUCAGGGUUAGUUGGUGGCGUCGUUCGAUUAUUCUGUGCUGCUUGACAUCUCAGCACCUCUGGUGGAGCUAAGUAUAGAUUUCCAGUUCCUACAUAGACAAAUCCUCUGGCUAUGUCAAUAGCAGGGCUGCUUCCCCAUAUUGCUGCUCCCGAAUAACCUCCAAGUCUUCCACCAUUGUCUGGGAGUGUAUAUGUUUGCCAUUGAAUUGCACCAGUACGAACAUUUAGCUUUACUAGACUGCCUCUAAAAGUACAACAUUGUGUAGCUGGUAGUAGUUCCUCCAGUGAUGAUACUCCCACAUAAUAUCCACUGUCAAGAAGUUGACAACAAAUUUAGUGUCUUAUCACUAAAUGUAUGGUGAAUGACAGACAUAGCAGUUAUAUCUUAGUGGCAUAACCAGGUAUUUGCUGAUAAUUAAGUUAUUUUAUUAGCUCAAGAGACUACCUUAAUUUUCUUAUGCAAACAGAUCAUUAAAAAGGGCAGCCCGAUGCACUAAGCCUCCGCUAUGCGGGGGGUCCGAGAAAGGGGCGGACCACAAGGGUCUAUUGUACGCAGACUUACCCUGCAUUUCUGCAAGAGACUGUUUUCACGGCUCGAACCAGUGAAACAGAUCAUUAAGGAGGAUAAAUUUUAUAUAAUGAUUAAAAACAUAUAGCUGACAAGUUAUUUUGUGGUAUUAAACACAACUGAGAUUUCUGUGGAAUGUCAUUAAAGGUAAAAAUAAAAGUUAAAAUUUAAAAUGUCUCAAAUUAUAGAAAUAUACUAUUCAUUUUGGUACUGAUUAAUAUGAGAAUAGUAUCACAUAAAAUAGAACGGAGGGAGUAAUAUUUAUUACUGAGGACAUGGCACGACUUAGGAUUACUGAGGACAUGGCCCUUGAUAGGGAUUUAUGGAGGUCGAGCAUUAGGGUUGUAGGUUAGGGGAGAGUGUGAAUAUUUCUACAGCACAAUAGAGGGAGACUAUCCAGUUAGGAGUUAGACUAGGAAUGUCAUUAGGCGUCUAUUGAUGCAGGACUUUACCUUCUAGUUGUACUAUACCAGCCAUCUAUUUCGUAUUUUCGUUGUCGUAUCUUGUAUUUCAUAUUUCAUAUCUCUUAUAUAUUGUUGCUGUUUUUUAUUACGCAUUUUUACAUAACUAAUGUAUCAUCUCCUAUUGCUUCUUUUGAGCCGAGGGUCUCCUGGAAACAGCCUCUCUACCUUCGGAGUAGGGGUAAGGUCUGCGUACAUACAACCCUCCCCAGACCCCACUUGUGGGAUUAUACUGGGUCGUUGUUGUUGUUGUUGUGGAGUAAUAUUUAUGCUAUCUGAAAACAGUUAACAUAUCAAAAAUGAAAUAGCUAACCCAAAGAAAACUGUUCCUGAUUGAGUGAUAAGAGCCAGAGGCCUGGGAUCUAGCAGAGUGGACCAAACAAGUGUUCCUGUUAAGCGUCUCACUGCAAUCACAACAGCAGGUCCAUAAAUUCCCACAAGUAGAAGAUCAUCAGCCACAACUGGAGUUGAUCUUGAUACUGUCACAUUCAC